UGGAGACGAAGGCGCUGGAGGGAAUUUGGGUUUGUGCGUCUGGCUCAAACCCUGCGCGCCAAAGGGGGCCGUUUGGCACGGAGCCCGAGGUCUUUCUUUCUCGCACCCCUCACCUCGCGACCCUGCAGGAAUCCGCGGGCCCAGGAGCGGCCUGACUGACCCACCUGCCCCGGGCUGAGCUGUCGAGAAAGGCUUCAUGGAGGGGGCCAACCCGUCCCGGUCUUUAAAAUGAGCACAAUAAAAGGGGGGCAAAUCCUCCAACGCGAACCUGAUCGCUUGUCACAGAAGCAACUUGCCAUGAAAUCCGCUAAUGCGCCGCGACUCGCCCACCGGGAUAAAUACCCGCCGGCGUUGGUGUAACCAGCGCACGCCCAAUACACUCGUAUUCCUCGAAUGCGCUCACCGCCGGCCACACUUGGAGAAUCCAGUGCAGAGGUUUCCGAAACCCCAUUUUCCUGAUUGCAGCCCAGACUCUGGAAACCCACGAACCUUCGGGGGAAGGGAGCCUGUUCCGGGCCAAGCGGAGGGUCAGGCGCGAGCGCGGGCCAAGCAGAGGGUCAGGAGCGAGCGCGCACAUGCACACACACACGCGCGCGCGCACACACAUACGCACACGGAUGUAUACACGCACUAG
rnacentral:lncRNA from 1 species